UACGUAGGGCGCAAGCGUUGUCCGGAAUUAUUGGGCGUAAAGGGCGCGUAGGCGGUCAGCACAAGUCAGUUGUGAAAUCUCCGGGCUUAACCCGGAAAGGUCAACUGAUACUGUGCGACUAGAGUGCGGAAGGGGCAACUGGAAUUCUCGGUGUAGCGGUGAAAUGCGUAGAUAUCGAGAGGAACACCUGCGGCGAAGGCGGGUUGCUGGGCCGACACUGACGCUGAUGCGCGAAAGCCAGGGGAGCGAACGGG
rnacentral:rRNA from 1 species